GCAGCCAAGGCACUGCUAUCUUCAAAGUCGCCCUGGCUGGCCAGCUAGCAAGGUGGCUAGUAAGGAGUCUGAAGCCUCAGCAGCAGCAGGUAAAAAGUGGCGACGCGGUGAACUAAGGGGCUGGCAAGUGGGGAGGAGAUGUCUGGUGUCGACGUUCCCGAGCUCAGUUUGGCCGCCUCGCUCCAGCAGUGAGCAUGGCCCUCCUCUUAUGGAUCAAACAGUGGUGCUCUGUACUUUGGCGGCCUUCCUCCUCUACUACAAUACGUUGCACGCCGAUUUUGCAUACGAUGACAGCCGGGCAAUCAAAACGAAUCCGGAUGUGAAUCCGUCGACGCCGUGGAUCAACUUGUUGUUCAAUGACUUCUGGGGCACGCCGCUGACCCAUUCGGGCUCGCACAAGUCCUACCGCCCGCUCUGUGUUCUCUCCUUCCGUUUCAACCAUUGGCUGCACGAGCUGCAGCCAGCUGGAUAUCAUUUGUUCAACGUCGUGCUCCACUGCCUGGCCACGGCCCUCUUCACCCUCCUGGCGCGCUCCCUCCUACCCCCCAAAGCUGGGCUGGCCACGGCCAUCGCCGGCUGUCUCUUCGCCGCCCAUCCCAUCCACACCGAGGCCGUGGCCGGCAUCGUCGGGCGGGCCGAUAUCGGCGCCGCCGUCUUUUUCAUUCUCGCCUUCCUCUCGUACCGACGCUACACGGCCGUUCGCUCCGGCCUGGCCCACCUGCGCCGACAGCAGCUAAUCAGGACCCAAUCGACGCGAUCAAUUUCCAGCCAUAAAUGUAGCAACAAUAACAGCCACGGUAGCGGCGGCGGCAGUUCAUUGCCGCCGCUGCGCUCGUUCCUGUCGGCCGCAAUCUUUACGUCCAUCAAGUGGAAUGGCGACGAUCAAGUUGGCGGAGAAUUACUGCGACCCAACACCCUGCCAAGAAGCGGCGGGCCGGCAUGUGGAGGACCCAAUUUGACUGUUCUGGUGGCCAGAAAGUGGCUGUGGCUCCUGGUGACGCUCCUCUUCGCCGCCUGCUCCAUGCUCACCAAGGAGCACGGCAUCACCGUUCUGGCCGUCUGCGCCGUCUACGACGUUUUCGUUCAAUCUCGACUCAAGCCUAAGGAUUUAUUUUCGUCCGUCCUGUUCCAGGAAAAGUAUCGAGGACUAUCUGAAGGAUUGUCGACUCUCUUCAUGGGCACCCUGUUGAUGGUGGCCGUCCGUCUGCAGCUAAUGGGCUCCAAAGCGCCCGAGUUCGCACCUGCCGACAACCCGUCGGCCGAUUGCCCGUCGCGUUUGACCCGCACUCUCACCUUCCUCUACUUGCCGGCCUUCAACUUGUGGCUACUCGUCCAGCCCACCGUCCUCAGCUUCGACUGGUCCAUGGAGGCCAUCCCGUUGAUCCACAGCCUGGCGGACAUCCGCAAUUUGGCCACGGCCAUCUUCUACUUGACUCUAGCCUAUCUCGGAUGGAACGCCCUGUUCCGGCGGCGGGACUUUGACGACAAUUGUGGAGAUCUGCGCUCGGCUUCCGCCUCGCCCGUUCCUGGCUCCGCUUCUUCGGUUCUCAGUGGCAACUUGAUCUCUUCGCCCCUGCCGGGCGAUUCGUCUUCCUCUUCGCUAGUGCGAGGCACCAACGGAUGCGUCCCGUCGGUGGCGGAUGCCGUUCUGGGAGUCCACUGCUACUCGUCGCCGUCGUCGGCUGUGGGUUGCUACGGCAACGGCAACGGCAGCACAAGCGGCAGUCUCAGCAGUAGCUCCUCGCUUCGAUCGGAGAGGACGAGAUGGUCGUCCAACAGUUCCGUCGACGUGGACGGGACUGGCGCCGGCCGGAAGAGCGGAGUGGAUUUGACUGUGAUAGCCUUGUCGAUGCUGGUGUUGCCCUUCAUCCCCGCCACCAAUCUCUUCUUCUACGUGGGUUUCGUCGUGGCAGAGCGAGUCCUCUACAUCCCGUCCAUGGGCUAUUGCCUCCUGGUGGCGUUGGGCUUCCACCUGAUCGACGACUGCCUCCGCCAGAAGCAAGUGCGACUCAAACAGCAGCAGCACAAGGAGCGACACAGGUGGAAGCAGAUGCAAGCCAGCAACUCUCUUCGGCUCCUGUUUCGCUGGGCAUUUGUUCUUCUACUCGUCGUCUACUCGGCCAGGACCAUCCAGCGAAACCGAGACUGGCACACGGAGGAAACUCUGUACCGCUCGGGAAUCAGCGUCAAUCCUCCAAAAGCAUACGGAAAUUUAGCAAACAUACUCAGUUCGACCGGACGUAAGGAUGAAGCCGAACAGGCUUACAAGAAGGCUCUCAGCUAUCGAAAUAACAUGGCGGACGUCCAUUAUAAUUUGGGUAUAUUGUAUCAAGAGCAGAAACGUUACGAAGAGGCUAUACAAUCCUACCGAUCGGCGGUUCACUAUCGUCCUCGAAUGGCCAUGGCUCAUUUGAACAUGGGUCUAGUCCUGGCUUUGAUGGGCAUGAAAGACGAGGCGAUCGAGGUGUACAGACGCUGUUCGCAGCUCGACGGAUCCGGCUUGAAGGACCCACGGACCCACGAGACCACCAAGAUUUCGGCCCUUUUCAAUCUGGGUCGUCUUCACGCUGACGAUGGCCAGUACACAAAGGCCAUCGACGUCUACAACGAGGCUAUUCAACGCAUGCCGACACAUUACCAGCCCCAGUCGCUGUACAACAUGCUGGGGGAAGCCUACUUUAAGCUGGAUCGGCUGAAGGAAGCGGAACACUGGUACCGUGAAGCCCUCCGCGCUAAAGCCGAUCACAUUCCGGCUCAUCUGACCUAUGGGAAACUUCUCACCAAAAUGAAUCGUCUCAGCGAGGCUGAGGACAUGUUCCUGCGUGCGAAAUCCCUGUCACCCAACGAUUCGACCGUCUAUCAGCAUUACGGUCAAUAUUUAUCGGAAUGUGAGAGACACACCGAAGCGGCAGAGCAAUACGUCCGAGCUGCUUCACUCGCGCCAACUGAAUAUGAAACCGUUUUUAACGCAGCCAACACGCUUCGCCAAGCAGGCAGGCACUCGGAGGCUGAACAGUAUUACAGAUCCGCCGUUAAAAUCCGGCCUUUGGAAGCGACAAGUCACAUGAACUUGGGUGCGAUGCUUCACGUCAAUGGCAAGUUAACAGAAGCCGAGCAAAGUUAUCUAGAAGCUUUACGGCUCAAACCAGACGAUCACAUCACUCGGAUGAACUUGCAGAAGUUACGUCACCUGUUGAUGAAGAAAGGUAUCGUGUCCUCUUCCUCUCAUUCGUCUCCCCCUUAGUGAAUGGUGCGGGCCCGACGGAGAUGACACGCCAACUCGCGUGAUGGUGACCCUUGUAUCGCGUGCUGUGUACCCCCAGAAGACUGGGCACUGUGGAUUAUCAUUUUUCCUUGGCCGAUGGCUCGCUGAUCAUGCUCUUCCCAUGACAAAGACGUGAGGAGAGUCGAACCAAUCGAACCUGUGAUAGAAUAUUGUACGAUGUGUAUUAGUACAUAACUCCCUGUCACGUAUGCUGAUGAUACGUAAACCUUUUCAGUUUUCACCAACUCUUGCGCACUUUGCUAAGAAUGAGAGAACCCGGUACUGUCAGUGACUAAUUCUGACAUUCUGACUAGUUUCUUGCUCUCUGUAGUAUUUAUUCCCACAUAAAAAGGCGCUAUAUAAAUUAAAGAAAUAAAUUUCUUCCUCGCCACAAUUUGCCUUUAAACCGCUAUAAAUGGAUUUUUUAGAGAUUCAUACAGUUAAUUUUUCUCGGCCACUUUAGAAUGUUAUAUUUCAAAAGUUCGUAUUCAAAUUUGGGACCAGUUCAAUAAAAAAAAUCAUACAAAAAGAAAAAAAAACAACAAAAAUACAAACAAAAAAACAAAACAAACAAAACAAAACAAUAAAAAAAUCAAAAUGUACGUAAACCCAAAUGUAGUCUGUCACGAUUUUUUUCUUCGUCGUUCAAAUUAUUUAAAAUUGUUUGUUUUAAAAGUUUUGCGACUAAAACAAUGAUGUCCUGGGGAAUUUUGUAAGACUUUUACGACAAAAGAACCAAAGAAAAAACAAAACAAAAAAGAAGCAAGUUACAUGAAAUCCACAUUUCCCGCUGGUUAGACAGAAACAAAGUAUCAACGUAUCAACACUUUAUUAACAAAUUCGAUUCAUAUGAAAGAAAAGCAAUACUUUCCUUAAUGUAGUCCUUCGUCAUUUUGUUGUCAAACCAAUGGCUGAUCAGAACACGGCUACGUGUUCAGAACAAAAAUCAAAAUAAAAUACACUUUUUAAAAGAGCCGAUGCAUUAUUAUGUAUUUAUCGAAAACAACUUCAAAGGAUGCUGAGGUGAAACAAUACUUUCUAGAAGCUCAACACAUACUUUCUAGAAGCAGACUUGCCACGAUAGGAAUCUUCUAUUAAUCACGAACCCAAUCAAAAUAAAAAAAUAUUUCAAUCAAGUGGAAAAUUUAGAUCGCAAUCACAAUCAAUUUUUCAAUCAAUUUUGCGCGCCACCUAGUUAUAGAAUUGAAAUUGAUUACAUUUACGAAAUGAUUUGAAUUGCUCAAUAUGUUGUCAAAGCAGCAGAGAUCACACGGCAAGUCUGUCGACUUGAGAAAUAGUAUAGUUGUAAAAACAAUGAAUACGGACACCCCCUGGGUUACAUACAAAUGCAAUACAAAAAAGAAAAAAAAAGAACAAAAUCUUUCUUUUUAUAGUUAAUUAACUGUAAGUAAAGGUUAUUUGAAAAUAUAAGGCCUUAUCGACGAAUCUUCUUUGUUUAUUAAUUAUUAUCGCAUAUUUGGGCUCAAACUGAAAUCCCUUGCUGCGCGCGCGAGUUUCCCGAUAGGAGUGGUCCAACAAUUAGAAAAUAGUUUUCCUCAAGUCUAUAUUUUGAUUUUCCGAUUUUCCCUUUAUCCUUUAUGGUAAAAUUUAUUGCACUCCGGAGAACUCUAGUGUCAAAAGAGGCUGUUGGUUUAUAUUACAGAUGAAUCUGUUCAAGUACAACCAUUUGAGGAAAAUGGUUACUUGGUUAGAAUAGAUUUCAAUCCUACAGUUCCUCAUUGUUCACUUGCCAGCCUUAUUGGCCUCUGCCUGAGAGGCAAGAUUCAGAAAAAUAUGGUGGAAAGGAUCAAAUUGGACAUAGUUAUUGCAGAGGGUAAACACAGCACAGAAGAAGAGAUCAAUAAACAAAUCAACGAUAAGGAAAGAGUCGCCGCCGCCGAUAGUUGAUAGUUGCAUAAGAGAUGAAGAAUAAGAUUUUUUUUUGAAGAAAAAAAAUAAAAGACAAUAAAUUUCCUCAGAGUAUUUUGUAUUCCAUUCCAUGAGAUAUCAACUCACAAGUAUGAAAGGCACUGCAGAGUCAAUUUCAUCGCACAUAUACACCCUGGAUUGAUUUUAGUAUAAGACUAGAACAAUUACCAAAAAGCUCCCUGGUAUAUUUAUAAAUUUUGCAAGUGUUAUCUCUGGUAAGAAGAAAAGCAUAACCAAAAGCGACAAGCAAGUUUGUUUCGUGAAAGACUUGUAAACUUAA
rnacentral:misc_RNA from 1 species